GACGGAUGGAUAUUGCUUGGAGGAUUCUUUUUGUGCAUAACAGGAUCGGAGGCCAUGUUUGCUGACUUGGGUCACUUUAAUGUACGAGCCAUUCAAAUUAGCUUUUCUUGCAUUACGUGUCCUGCAAUAGUG